rnacentral:lncRNA from 1 species
AGAUAACGCCGCCACCAGCGAUAUCGCUGGAAAGUUCGAUAGCGCCUGUAUAAAAGCCGACGCGCUUGACCGCUUGUAAGUUGUUCGGCGGCCGACGCCCAGUUGGCCGCUAUCAGUGUACAGUGUGUAUUGCUGUAGUUUGACUUUCAUUUUCCCG